AGAGUUUGAUCCUGGCUCAGAACGAACGCUAGCGGCGCGUUUUAAGCAUGCAAGUCGAACGGUAAGAAGAGACUUGUUCUCUUCCUAGAGUGGCGGACUGGUGAGUAACACGUGGGUGACAUACCCUUGGGGUGGGGAUAGCUGAUAGAAAUAUCGGGUAAUACCGAAUACGCUUCCUCCGCUAAGAAGGGGAAGGAAAGAAGCUAAGGCUUCGCCCGAGGAAUGGCCCGCGGCCCAUUAGCCUGUUGGUGAGGUAACGGCUCACCAAAGCAAUGAUGGGUAUCCGGCCUAAGAGGGUGAACGGACACAUUGGGACUGAGAUACGGCCCAAACUCCUACGGGAGGCAGCAGCUAAGAAUAUUCCGCAAUGGGCGAAAGCCUGACGGAGCGACGCCGCGUGUAUGACGAAGGCCGAAAGGUUGUAAAGUACUUUUAAGCCUGACGAAUAAACACGGAAGGGAAUGUCCGUGCGGUGACGGUAGGGUUUGAAUAAGCAACGGCUAAUUACGUGCCAGCAGCCGCGGUAACACGUAAGUUGCAAGCGUUGUUCGGAAUUAUUGGGCGUAAAGGGCAUGUAGGCGGCUACUCAAGCUUGGUGUGAAAUGCCUCGGCUUAACCGAGGGGGUGCAUUGAGAACUAGGUGGCUAGAGUUGCUGGGGAGAAGCCGGAAUUCCAGGUGUAGGGGUGAAAUCUGUAGAUAUCUGGAAGAACACCAAUGGCGAAGGCAGGCUUCUAUCAGAUAACUGACGCUGAGGUGCGAAGGUGCGGGGAGCAAACAGGAUUAGAUACCCUGGUAGUCCGCACAGUAAACGAUGUACACUAGGUGUUUGCCUAAAUGGCGAGUGCCGAAGCUAACGCGAUAAGUGUACCGCCUGGGGAGUAUACUCGCAAGGGUGAAACUCAAAGGAAUUGACGGGGGCCCGCACAAGCGGUGGAGCAUGUGGUUUAAUUCGAUGGUACGCGAGGAACCUUACCUGGGCUUGACAUAACAAGUGAUUCGCUGGAAACAGCGGAGCGUAGUAAUACGACUUGUUACAGGUGCUGCAUGGCUGUCGUCAGCUCGUGCCGUGAGGUGUUGGGUUAAGUCCCGCAACGAGCGCAACCCCUGCUGUUAGUUACUAACAGGUAAAGCUGAGAACUCUAGCGGAACUGCCGGUGAUAAACCGGAGGAAGGCGGGGACGACGUCAAGUCAUCAUGGCCCUUAUGUCCAGGGCUACACACGUGCUACAAUGGUUGACACAGAGCGAGGCGAAGCAGUGAUGUGAAGCAAAACGCAAAAAAGCAAUCGUAGUUCGGAUUGAAGUCUGAAACUCGACUUCAUGAAGUUGGAAUCGCUAGUAAUCGCGUAUCAGCACGGCGCGGUGAAUACGUUCCCGGGCCUUGUACACACCGCCCGUCACACCAUCCGAGUGGAGAAUGCCCGAAGCCGGUUGCCUAACCCGCAAGGGGGGGCGCUGUUGAAGGUAUGCUUUGUAAGGAGGGUGAAGUCGUAACAAGGUAACC
rnacentral:rRNA from 1 species